UCUGGCGUCUUUCAGGCGUCCGAGUUGUAAUCUAUAGAAGUGUUUUCCGUGCUGGACCAUGUCCAAGUCCCUUGGAACAGGGUAUCAAAGAGGGUGACAAUCCCGUACUUGACAUGACCACCAGUGCUCUGUGAUACACUUUCUACGAGUCGAGUUGUUUGGGAAUGCAGCUCAAAAUGGGUGGUAAAUUCCAUCUAAAGCUAAAUAUUGGCGAGAGACCGAUAGCGAACAAGUACCGUGAGGGAAAGAUGAAAAGCACUUUGGAAAGAGAGUUAAACAGUACGUGAAAUUGUUGAAAGGGAAACGAUUGAAGUCAGUCGUGUUCAUUGGACUCAGCCGGUUUUCGGUGUAUUUCCUUUGAACGGGUCAACAUCAGUUUUGUCCGGUGGAUAAAGGCAGGAAGAAAGUGGCUCCCUCGGGAGUGUUAUAGCUUUCUGUCACAUACACUGGAGGAGACUGAGGACUGCAGCUCGCCUUUUGGCCGGGGUUCGCCCACGUUCGAGCUUAGGAUGUUGACAUAAUGGCUU
rnacentral:rRNA from 1 species